AGAUGGAACCCACUGGAAACUGCAAGCAGAGAACUCCUAUUUUGAAGACGGCCCUUUUGUCUGUUGUAUGAAAAAUGAACUGCAGGGAGACUAGAGCGGGGACUACUGCACAAAUACAGACAAGAGGUGACAGUACAGGCUAACAGGGGAGCAGAAGAAAAGACAAAAGGCCUACAGGACAUCAAGUGGAGCCUUGAGAUGCCCCUACCGAUACAAUCUUUGGAAAUCAAGAAAGAAGCAAUUCUCUACUCACCUCUUUUUCCUGUUUCUGAUGGCAUCGUGUAUCAUUUUCACUUGUACGGCCACCACUGACAGAACUUCCACAGAAAUUCGAUUGAAUUCAUCAAAGCAGCCCCAAGCUCCUGUCUGCACCAACCCCUUAUAGAUAUUUCCUAUGGACUAAGUCAUAGAGCAAGGCAUUAAGAAUUUAACAGAAGGGGGUUUUGAGCUAUUAGUUUCAAUCAUUCCAAAUCAGGGAUAAUAUUGUUAGAAUGUAACAUUUUCUAACUCACUUACUUUGUAGUCCAUUUGCUCUGAACAGUUGAAUACAUAAACCAUCAUGCCAAGGGCACGUCCAAGAUCUUUGGUAGUUUCUGUUUUCCCUGUACCAGCAGGUCCAGCUGGAGCUCCACUCAUGGUUAAAUGAAGUGAUUGAGUUAAAGUAAUGUAACACCUUUAAACAAUUGAAAGCGCAAAUAUUAUAGUCUGGUAUGAGAUUUUUAGAAAACAUUAGGGGCAAUCUAAUUUUUUUAGUUUAAAAAGUCAGGCUCUAGAAUGUGGAAGUAAUAAAAAAUAUUGAUAUACCUAUAACUUGUUCAUGGCAAUAACAAGAGUCAAAAUAUUUUAUAUCAAAUUUAGUUUUAGGUUGGCUAUUUAAAAAUAAUAAAGCAGAUACUGCUGUAUUUGUCUCAUUUCCUAAGAACUGUGUAUCAAUACAAAUAACACUUGAUUUGCAGUGCUACUACUGAAUUUCUGAUGUGGGUAGGCAGAGAUACUAUUACUGUAGCAGACAACAGCUCAAACUAUUGU